rnacentral:rRNA from 1 species
AGCGGCGGACGGGUGAGUAACGCGUGGGUAACCUGCCUCAUACAGGGGGAUAACAGUUGGAGACGGCUGCUAAUACCGCAUAAGCGCACAGUACCGCAUGGUACGGUGUGAAAAACUCCGGUGGUAUGAGAUGGACCCGCGCCUGAUUAGGUAGUUGGUGGGGUAACGGCCUACCAAGCCGACGAUCAGUAGCCGACCUGAGAGGGUGACCGGCCACAUUGGGACUGAGACACGGCCCAA